rnacentral:rRNA from 1 species
AUGUGCGUACCUAAAAAUCAAGGAGGGAUGGGAUUCCGUGAUAUUCACAAUUUCAACUUGGCGUUUCUCACUAAACAGGCAUGGCAUCUUCUAGACAAUCUUGAUUCCUUGUGUGCUUCUAUCCUAAGGGCAAAGUAUUACCCUGAUGGUGAUUUGUUGAAUGCUAAGCUAAGGAAAGGCUCCUCCUUUACAUGGAAAAGUAUCAUGGCAGGCACAAAUACUCUGAAACGUGGUUAUAUUUGGCGAGUGGGGAAUGGGCAUUAUAUCAAUAUUUGGGAAGAUGCCUGGAUACCAAACUAUGCCACUAGAAUUGUAACGCCUAAAGGGGGACAUCUGUUAACUAAGGUAGGUGGUCUCGUUGAUCAUGCUUCCAAUAGUUGGGAAGACCUGAUUAGACAAACUAUGUGGCCAGUCGAUGUACAAAGGAUUCUUUCAAUUCCUCUCCCACAACAUGAUAUGCCAGAUUUCAUUGCUUGGAAUUAUACGAAAAAUGGUAUAUUCUCGGUUCGGUCAGCUUAUUCUGUGGAGUGGGACCACCAGUAUGGAAGAAAAUUAAAACACUCUAAUGGGAUGUGGCGAACCACGGUUAACCUAUUUGGAGUAAGAUAUGGAAGUUAGCCUGUCCGGCAAAAGUAAAAAAAUUAUAUGGCGUACGCUACAUGGAACACUCGCGUGCCGGGUUACGCUAGGUCGCUAGCUAAUAGACAUAUGAAGGUCUCACCCAUCAGCCCCACUUGCUCUAAGGGUUUAGAAGAUACAAAUCAUAUGCUUUUCCGUUGUAGUAAAGCAAAGGAGGUCUGGAAAGGGCUGGGGACGGAAGAUAUUAUUGAUAAAGCUUGCGAGGUUGACCGUGCUGGAGAGGCGGUGCAGGAGUACCUACUACUUCUGCCAGAUCAAGAUUUGUGA